UACGAAGGGUGCAAACGUUGCUCGGGAAUUAAUUGGGCGUAAAGCGCACGUAGGCGGGCAUUGCAAGUCGGAUGUGAAAUCCCACGGCUUAACCAUGGAAGUGCAUCCGAAACUGCAGUGCUUGAGUACUUAAGAGGAUCGCGGAAUUCCCGGUGUAGAGGUGAAAUUCGUAGAUAUCGGGAGGAACACCAGUGGCGAAGGCGGCGAUCUGGGAAGA
rnacentral:rRNA from 1 species